AAACAAUAAAUAAAUAUCAUUCCAAAAGUAAUAAAUCAUUUAUUACUAUAAUCCAUCAUUAAAAUCAAAUUUUCAAUUAAUUAAAAUUCCAUCAACUUCCUUUUUAAAUCAAAUUAAUUUCUCUUUCAAUAAAUUAAUUUGAUUUCCAAUUAAUUACUAAAUAAAUAGUAAUAACUUUGUUCCCAUAAUUAUAAUUAUAAAUUAAUACUUCCAUCUCUCUUUAUUUUUAUAAUUUAAUUUCAUUAAUUAAUACCAAUAAUUACUUAAUUCCAUUUUCCACUAAUAAAAUUUAUUUUACAUUCUCUUCAUUUUAUUUUUUCAAUACUUUUAGGUCUUUGCUUUUGCGAAUCUGUUCAACCAAAGAAACAACUUUGGGCCUACAGGCCCAAUUACAUCCAAACUGACAUAACCACAGUCCAACGCUCCCAGGUAGCCACAGCGAGCCCCUGGUCUCACAACUCAAGAUUGGUAGCCCAACCCAAGAACUCCUUGGGCGAGUCACACCCAGCUGCGUCACUCGCGUAACCAGCGCCACUCGCACAACCACCGUCCACUACCACGAGAGUCAAAAAACACAAGAAAGAACCUUCAUACGCAAAGUCAAACUCAGAAAGGAAGAACCUCAAGAACCAAAAACAACAAGAACACCAGAAAUUCUCAAAGCUCAAUUUCAGAUUCCAAUUCGAAACCCCCUAAAAUCAGAGAACAGGUGGAACCCUAAAUCGCACGAUCAAGAACCCCAAAAAUCACAAUUACAGAAAACAACAACAGAAACCCGAGAGAAAAAUUCCCAAAUUCGCAAUCCAAAACCUGAUCCCCAAUUCACAGAAUGAAAACCCUAAUUGUAGAAUCAAGAAUCACAACUCCAAUUCGAAACCCUAAAACACAGUCGCGAAAACAAGAAGUCUAAUUUGCGCUUCCUUCUUCGCGGCUCAACCUAUACAAAUCGCGGCCAAAACACGAGAAUCGAAACCGCCUUGUGCUGCAAAGUCGCCGGAGCACGAACCAGUGCGAAGACGUCGCUGUUGUCACCUCCACGAAGGAAACGCCGCACCCUCAACGCGACUCUACCGUGCAGUCGUCGCGCUCUCUCAGCGUCCUCGCCACACCACCACAAGCAAAAGUUGAUGCCAUCGCUACCAGAACGCAUAAACCAAAACCAAAAAGAAUAGGGAAGAAGCUAUCUCCCUCGCGACGCUAACCAGCGCCAGAAAAGAGGAAAAAGAAGAAGAAUGGUCGACAUGCCGCCGCGAACCGCUGUGAGCCACCAAGAAUUCCGCUUGGUCGUGCUAUCACGAACGUCGCCGGUUCGCAUUCUCCUCCCUACAGUCAGAAUGUAACCCUAAAGGGAAAAAAAAGGAAGGAAGAUUUCCCAUUGUUGAUUGAGAAAAGGAAAGGGAAAGGUCCCCUAGGCCCGCGAUGCAGGACUCCAAUUGGAAUUCCUGGUUCGAAAAAUUAACUCGGCUUUCUUUGGUGUAUUCAGAUGCCAGCCCACAUAGAAUAAAAAGGAAUAAUUUGGGCUUAGCAAAACUUAUUUAAUCUCUGUUGAAGGAUUCAGCUUUUAAGAUUAAAGCUAAUCCUAAUUAACCCCUAAAUUAAAAGAAUAUCCAAAACCUUAAUUUUUAUCUCAAUUACAAUUAAAGCAACCUUUUAAUCUCUCUUCUCCUGAUACAGAAUACUUUC
rnacentral:lncRNA from 1 species